rnacentral:snRNA from 1 species
GAGUGUUACAGCUUUCGAAUUUGUCUAGCAGGCUUUCUGCUUUUUACUGGAAACUGCCCCC